GGAUCCCAUUGCUGGCCUGGGGUCCACAGCGUCCACCCCUCCGUACAGCCAGUCCAAGCAGCAGGAUAUGCUUCCCUCGGUCAACAGCAUACCUCUGCUGCUUCCUUUCUGGCGGAACUUCAAAUGCACGGCCUGCGUGUCUCAGGCAGUCGAUGGAGGGGGAGCCGUAGAACAUGGUGGAAGGAGUAGGAUAAAUUGAUGUCCUCACGCGCGGCAGCGGUGACUGUCCAGUGCUCCCAGUGCCGUUGGGUAACCCAAUGGACUAUGGAAGCCAAGCAGGAGCCAGCAUCCUCAGAUGUCCCUUCCCAAAUACUGAGCAGAAGUUGCGAAUGGCAUAAAACGUCACACUGCUAGACUGGUAGGCCAUUUGCAGUUUGUGGAGGGUUGGGAGGUGGCAGAACGGACCUACAGUAAUUGACUGGUGAAUGUUUUUUUUACAAACCUUGACUUAGAACAAAACAAUACAUAGAGUGAUAUACUCCUGCCACUGUAAAUGGAGCAAAUGGGCAAAUAUUCUAAGUAAAAGUGAAAAAGUCAAUGGCUAUAACCAUCACUUGACUCAAGCAGUUACAGUCAUCAUUUGUGCAGUCAGUAUGCUUUACGUCAUAGGUCCAGGUUCCAACCUAAAGGCCUGUUCUUCAUUGUCAGGUUUGAAACUGUUUUCUAUUUAUGGUUUCGGCAGCAAAAGUUGUCAAACAACAUUCGCUAAUGAACACGAGAUGAGACCUAACCAGGAAUUUAACUUUGUAAAACAUUUCAAAUGCUGAUUAAUUUGCAUACAGUAAUUUUCCUAAAACAUGUUUUUUUCCUCAAACUUUUAACGAUGCUCUGCUGAGAAACUGUAUCAGCGU